rnacentral:rRNA from 1 species
GAUGAACGCUAGCUACAGGCUUAACACAUGCAAGUCGAGGGGUAACGAGAGGAAAGCUUGCUUUCCUUGUUGACGACCGGCGCACGGGUGAGUAACGCGUAUCCAACCUGCCCCCAACUAGGGAAUAACCUUGCGAAAGUAAGACUAAUACCCUAUAAUUUCCUCAGAUGUCAUCUGACGAGGAAUAAAGAUUUAUCGGUUGGGGAUGGGGAUGCGUCUGAUUAGCUUGUUGGCGGGGUAACGGCCCACCAAGGCAACGAUCAGUAGGGGUUCUGGGAGGAAGGUCCCCCACAUUGGAACUGAGACACGGUCCAAACUCCUACGGGAGGCAGCAGUGAGGAAUAUUGGUCAAUGGGCGGAAGCCUGAACCAGCCAAGUAGCGUGCAGGAUGACGGCCCUAUGGGUUGUAAACUGCUUUUAUACAGGAAUAAAGUUAGCCACGUGUGGUUAUUUGUAGGUACUGUAUGAAUAAGGACCGGCUAAUUCCGUGCCAGCCGCCGCCGCGG